CAGGAAUCAAGCACUACUCUAAAUUCCUGAAACUGACAACAUCCAGCCAGUAAGGUUAACAAGAGGGACCAGCAGAGACACAGGUCUUGGGAAGAGAAAGGCAGCCCUGUGUCGGUCAUCAGGAUCCACUUACAAGCAAGAUCCACAUGGAGCACUGGUUUAGAACUUCUAUAAAGGUUUCCCCUGCCUCAGGCUAUGUAGGCGUCUAGCCCAAGGUGACACUGAAGUGGCUGGAGAAGCCAGCUGCAAUCAAAGGGCUGUCAAGGAUUUGCCAUUGGAGUUGACAUAACCUCAGUAACUAACCACUUUUGUAAAGAGGUAUUGAUAACUUUAAAAAUCACAGUGUUCUUCCAGAACUGAUAGUUCAACCUUAUCUAUUCAGC
rnacentral:lncRNA from 1 species